ensembl:lncRNA
AAAAGGCCCAAUAUUAAAUUAUCUGAGAACGAACAAGUGGUUCAAAAUAAAUAGUGGUGUAAAAACUAAGUGUAUAAUGUCGAAAACUAGACUAAAAUGCAGUACUUAGUGUACUUUGGACCUGUGCGGAUAUACAGUACACACGUACCGGGGACCCGUCAUGGAAACGUCACAUCACUAGCGAGCCCGAGGCUAACGGGCCUCACACAGGAGAGCCCACCCUGCUGAAAUUAACCACCAAAUGAGAUCUGCCAGUCACUGUCCUAAUGGGCUGCAUGGCCCCCGGCAAUGACACACACACACACACGCAUGCAUACAUGAGUACACACGAGCACACACACACACAUGUGGAAUGAAUGGUCCAUGUUGAAAUUCAUCAGCAGGGAGAGAGUCUGCGACGAGGCCAAUUAUCUGAUCCGCGUAUUAAACGACUUAAAGAGACAGACGCUCCGCUACUCGCCAUCUCACACGUUGUGUGUCUCUUUGUGUGCAAUAUAUUAUAUAUAUAUAUACAUAUAUAUAUAUACAUUUAUAUUAUAUAUAUAUUAUAUAUAUAUACAUAUAUAUAAUAUAUAUAUGUAUAUAUAUCUUAAUGCUAAUGUAGUGUGCAGCCACGUGUCAAAGCAUCUCUACUGUUGCACCAACGAUAAUAAAAGAAGCGUCUCGUCUGCGUUGCGCGGCGCUCAGAGACGGUGAAGCGCCAUCUGCUAGCCAUCAAACUUUAAGAUGAGGCGUUCGGGAGAAGGUGCCGUCUCGCGUUCCUCUGAGACGCAUCAGCUGCUUUCAGCCGGGAGACGUUUCUUUUUCUAGGUCAAAGGUAAAAUAUUCAGUUUUAAAGCCGCGCUUGAUUUUUGUUCUUCUGGAUGGAAGCGUUGACGGACUCACAGACACGUAGGAGAAGAUGGGAGAAAGUGUCAUAUGGAAACAAUCUGAAUGUUAAAACGACAAAAUGUUUCUUUGAGAUUAAAUCUGCUAAAAAUAAAGACUGAAUUUCUGCAGAUGUUUCCCAACAGCGGCCCUUUAUUAUGGCAAUGACUAAAAUAAAUGAAUUAAUAAAACAUGUAGUUUAUUUAUGAUUACUUUCAGAAUGGGAUUUAUUUCUAGAGCAAACAGUCAUUUCCUGGAUAUGUUUAUUUAUUCUAUCUUCAGCCUUUAGUCUUCUACUUCCAGCGGUUUUCUCACGAUAAUAAACAAAGAAACAAACAACAAACCUCAAAAAUUGCCUUUAACUACAAGCUGACAAAUUACGUAUUAAACUCAGUAUAAAAACACAAGUUGGUAAACUUGAAUUUGCUGUUCCUUACAAGGAAACAGAAUCACAUCCACACGUUGAAAGCAGACACACAUCAAGAAACCAACUCAAUUAGAAUUUGGAAUUUUGACUUGAGGAGCUCGAUUGCCUUUUGGUAGAAAAAUGAAAAUGUCAGAAUUAUAUUGCUUUUACUGAGAGUCUUCUGAACCAACAACAUAAAACUGCCGUUCUUCCUCAGCAUGAGAAUCACAAAACAUCUGGCUCUGCUGUGAAAACAACACAGUAACUGCCAGGCUGAGGCUAAUGGUGAUAUGUGUCGGCAAUAUAACACGUAUGGAUCCGGGGAGCUUGAUGUUCCUCGGCGGCGCCGUUGACUGACUCGCUUUCACUUUCUCCAACAUUUCCUGUGUUUUUUCCGGGUGGAGCUCAUAUCCUUUAUUGACUGAGAUGAUCUAAGGAAUUCUUGUCAGCCAGCAGACAAGAAUGUUGGUGAUUUGGAAUAAUCAGCAUUGGACCAAAUAAGUCAUGUCCAAAAUCCUCACAGCCUCUAUGAUUUCAAAGGAGGGAGGGUAAACAGCCAGCAGGCUAGCAGGCCGGAAGCUAGCAGGCGGUAGGCUAGCAGGCCGGAAGCUAGCAGGCGGUAGGCUAGCAAGCAGUAGACUAGCAGGAGGUAGAUUAGCAGGCGGUACACUAGCAGGCCGGAAGCUAGCAGGCGGUAGACUAGCAGGCGGUAGGCUAACAGGCAGUAGGCUAGCAGGCGGUAGGCUAACAGGCAGUAGGCUAGCAGGCCGGAAGCUAGCAGGCGGUAGACUAGCAGGCCGGAAGCUAGCAGGUGGUAGGCCAAGAGGCGGUAGGCUAGCAGGCGGUAGGCUAGCAGGCCGGAAUGUCAGAUUUCAGGAACUUUGAUUUUUCCUUUUAAUGUCUGAGCUUUGAAUACAGUCCAGGGCAAUAAAUGAGGAGCUGUAGUUCAUAAAUGAUUGACACUCUCUCACAGCCCAGCAGCUAAUUAGCGGUACAGCCAAACCCCAUCUGCCAGCGGUAAAAAACGGCGCCUCUUGCUUGAUGGGAUUGGCUGUCUGGGCCAAAGGGACAUUGAUAAGCUUAAAAGUUGGGAAAACUAUUUGACUUUUGCGCGUUGUUUGUCUGCCGGCGGCAUGGGGAACGCCUCCAGGUGUGCAGUCAACGGUUGUAAAUGACACAUUCCAGUUCCAGUACGACAAUCCCUCCGACCCCCACACUCAGCGUGCUUCCUCCCUGCAAGUUGCUGCCUUUUUAAGAAAAGAUGACAGAGGAAGGAAUAAACUCUCGCGCUCGCACUGCCAGGUUUGCAGUUCACUGAUCGCUUCCUAAGUCAACAUGUUCUUAGGAAAGUUUCCAACAUUCACAUUUUUUUUUUAGCUCAAUAGACUUUUCACCCUUUUAAAAGUAGAAGGUGAAGAUUAUCUGGUGGUGCAUGCCCCGUUUUGGGAGGAACCCCUGCUAUCGUCCCACGGCUGCCGAACCGAUCUGCCUGCACUCGGCUUUAAAACACCCCCCUCUUCCUCCCGCAGACGUCUGUGUCGCAGGAGGUGGAGCCGCCGAGGUGAUCAACUUCACCCGUAAUGUUUUCAAGAGGCCUGUCCGCGGCGGCAAUUCCUUCUUCCAUAUUUAUCACUCUCGGUCUGGGAAGGUACCGAGGAGACCGGCGGUGUCAAUCUGUCUGACAGCCGUGCAUCCGGAUGCCGCGGCGUAGACCUCCUUAUCUCCCACACUCCAGGUGAACAGGAUACGCAUCCAUGGUGCGUUUUUUUUUACGUCCCUUUAUUUAUUUAUCUAUUUAUAUGACAAGAUGUAAUAAAUCUCAGGAGGCUCUGCGGAGGAUUUAUACAGCACGGUAGCCUGGAACGAUAAGGUUAUGAACUGUCAUUCACUGUAAUGCAAGAGGCUCGUACGCACUGGCCCUCGGAAAGGAGCUGGGGCGUUUGGGGGGUUUGGGGCGUUUGGGGCGUUUGGGGGGGUGUUCAAAGCUGACGGGCCUCAUCAGCCGAGGGUCCAGACAGCUCACAGUCAAAAGGAUUUAACUGAGACAGCUCGCAACUGAUUAAGAGAAGAGAAGAUCUAAUUAAUGAUGACUGACAAUUUCCAUCUUCAUCACUCAACGAUAAAAUAUUAGGUAGCAUGAAGCUGGUAGUUUGGGUACAGCUAACCGUUGCUUAGCACCAAUAAAACAAGGAGAAACGAUUUGAAUGACACAAAAAAAAUAUAGUUUUCCACCUGCACAGAUUCUGUCACAUAAAUUCCUAAAGUUGGUCAAUACAUUCUAUAAAAAGACCCCAAAACCCAGCAUCCUCCGUGGCAGGUGUCAAAAAUAUACUGUGCAUCUCCAUUUAAAAAAAGUGAUUUCCUAGAAUAGAAGCACAUUUUACUCAAAUAGUACAAUAGUACAAAGGCUGAGUGGAAGCCAGUCUUUGUAGUAUAGAGAAUAUGGAUAGCUGUAUGAAGUAAAGCAUUUCAGCCUUCACACAUUAUAGAAUAUAGUAUGCAGGGAAGUGGCUGAAUACAACGAUCACACAAAGAACACACACACAAGACGAGGAAACAGCAGAGCACACAAUGGGGGCCAGAACCAAAGGAACACAGGGGCAUCAUGGGAUGAGUCAAACCAAACCAGAAGACAGGUGGCUGCGUCAUGCUCAGCCAAAGGUCACCAAGUACCACCACUUCCAUAAUGGACUCAAACCAUGAGCUUUUGCAAAAAAGA